rnacentral:rRNA from 1 species
GACGAACGCUGGCGGCGUGCUUAACACAUGCAAGUCGAACGGUGAUGCUCCAGCUUGCUGGAGUGGAUCAGUGGCGAACGGGUGAGUAACACGUGAGCGACCUGCCCCAGACUCUGGAAUAAGCGCUGGAAACGGCGUCUAAUACUGGAUACGAAACUGGCCCGCAUGGGCAUGGUUUGGAAAGUUUUUCGGUUUGGGAUGGGCUCGCGGCCUAUCAGCUUGUUGGUGAGGUAAUGGCUCACCAAGGCGACGACGGGUAGCCGGCCUGAGAGGGCGACCGGCCACACUGGGACUGAGACACGGCCCAGACUCCUACGGGAGGCAGCAGUUGGGAAUAUUGCACAAUGGGCGAAAGCCUGAUGCAGCGACGCCGCGUGAGGGAUGACGGCCUUCGGGUUGUAAACCUCUUUCAGCAGGGAAGAAGCGAAAGUGACGGUACCUGCAGAAGAAGCACCGGCUAACUACGUG